AACGAACGCUGGCGGCAUGCCUAACACAUGCAAGUCGAACGAGACCUUCGGGUCUAGUUGUGCUCGGGUGCGUAACGCGUGGUAACCUGCCCUUAGGUUCGGAAUAACUCCCCGAAAGGGGUGCUCAUACCGGAUCAUGUCUUAGGACAAACGAUGUAUCGCCUUUGGUUGGGCCCGCGUUGGAUUAGCUAGUUGGUAGGGUACAAGCCUACUAAGGCGACGAUCCAUAGCUGGUCUGAGAGGAUGAUCAGCCACACUGGGACUGAGACACGGCCCAGACUCCUACGGGAGGCAGCAGUGGGGAAUAUUGUACAAUGGGCGAAAGCCUGAUCCAGCAAUGCCGCGUGAGUGAUGAAGGCCUUAGUGUUGUAAAGCUCUUUUACCCGGGAUGAUAAUGACAGUACCGGGAGAAUAAGCGCCGGCUAACUCCGUG
rnacentral:rRNA from 1 species